ACGAUGUUCCGCUGCAACAGUCAAAAUGGUGUAAGAGCGUCUG
rfam:Planococcus sp. PAMC 21323, complete genome.